rnacentral:misc_RNA from 1 species
GCUCCAAAGGCAAGUGAAGACAUAACUUCAACAGAGCGUUCAAUUGAAGAUGAGGAUGAUGAUCAAGAGGAAGAAGAAGAAGAAGAGGUUGACAAUGAAGAAUGUGUCAUGGAAAAAGGCGAAGAGAAUUCAGAAGUAACAGGAAGCUCUUCAGCUGGAUCCAAUGAAGAAGAAAUUUGGCCAGUGGAAUCGGUAGAAGCAAUGUCACAAGCGCUCAAAAACACCUCGAUAAACCAGCAGUUCUCUGCAGCGAAGAUUAUGGAGGAAGACGAAACCAACGAAACCCAAGAGUGUAUUCACUUAGAUAACAGUGAAAUUAAUAUAGUUGACAAUUGCAGAUAUAACCAUCAGACUACCCACGCUUCAACGUUCUUGAAGAAAGAAGAAACCCUGGAGUUUACAGCGGCA